AGUGAACGCUGGCGGUAGGACUAACACAUGCAAGUCGAACGGCAGCACAGUAAGAGCUUGCUCUUACGGGUGGCGAGUGGCGGACGGGUGAGGAAUACAUCGGAAUCUACUUUUUCGUGGGGGAUAACGUAGGGAAACUUACGCUAAUACCGCAUACGACCUACGGGUGAAAGCAGGGGAUCUUCGGACCUUGCGCGAUUGAAUGAGCCGAUGUCGGAUUAGCUAGUUGGCGGGGUAAAGGCCCACCAAGGCGACGAUCCGUAGCUGGUCUGAGAGGAUGAUCAGCCACACUGGAACUGAGACACGGUCCAGACUCCUACGGGAGGCAGCAGUGGGGAAUAUUGGACAAUGGGCGCAAGCCUGAUCCAGCCAUACCGCGUGGGUGAAGAAGGCCUUCGGGUUGUAAAGCCCUUUUGUUGGGAAAGAAAAGCAGCAGGUUAAUACCUCGCUGUUCUGACGGUACCCAAAGAAUAAGCACCGGCUAACUUCGUG
rnacentral:rRNA from 1 species